AGAACCUGCCUAAAUUGUUAUGGUGGCACAUGUGACUGAUGGAUCUUUUGGAUUUGAAUGCCUAUUUCUGAGAGAGCAGACACCAUCUUAUUUCUGUUGAAUUGUAUUUAGUAACUCAAAAGGCAUAUACCAAGCUGUCAGAAGCAGCUUCAUUUAAAAGAAAUAAAAUUUCUAGUCCUGCCUGAAGUUUAAGCUAGCCCAUGACUACUCAAGUGCAACUGUAUUUCCCAGGUAGAUGCCGGUAGAUUGGGCCCAGUAAGUUUGGGCCGUUGGGAUGUGAAAGGAAGAGAUGCGGGCAACUUUUUGGGUCAUCUUCUUAAAGAAAAAGCCAUUUGUCCUGGAUGUCCUCUUUUCUUUUUUCUCUUUGGCUGGGAAAUGACAAGAAUUAAAGCAGCAGCCUUGGAUCCAGAGAUGGACGCCAAUUGAUGAAGACGGCAGAACUGACUGGCUAGUCUGGGUUCCCUGGAGCAGAGCUGUCUCUCCACCCUAGGUUAUCCACUUACUUUUGUACUGUUAUGUGAGAGAGAAAUAAACUUCUAUCUUCUUUAA
rnacentral:lncRNA from 1 species